GGGUAGGCAGUAAUAUAGUUGCAUAUGGGGGUUACUGUGGGGGUAGGCAGUUUGAAGUUGCAUACUUAACCGAUCGAGAGCACUGCCGUGUCCCGGAUUACCACCAACUCCCCCAAAUAUAAUUACAACACUCGAGUGACAUGUGACAUGAAGUGAGUGAUCAAUUUAUAAUGAUGCCAUGAUCGACGAUGGCUGUAACAUAUCUUGUUAUUGAUGAUUGUCGUAUAUCUUCCUCCAUCAAAGUAUAAGUAUUGCUUUGCUGGCAAUUCUUGCAAACGUACGUGGUCUUGGUACCAUAUUCUAUGAUUGUCGAUGCCUCCGUCAACUCUAUUUCCCCAAAUAAGUGCCUUAAGGCAAUUUUUGCAAACUUACUGUCUUGGUGCCACCUCAAUAUAAGAUUCCUCCGCUCAGGUGGCUCUAUAGGUGCCUUUAUAAACACUGCAAUUAAGUGGCAAUUCUAUGAUUGUCUUAUUGAAGGUAUAAGAUUCCUCCGCCUAAGGUGGCGCUAAACGCCUUUAUAAACACUGCAUUUCCUCAAUUAAGUGGCAAUUCUAUGAUUGUCUUAUUGAAGGUAUAAGAUUCAUCCGCCUAAGGUGGCGCUAAACGCCUUUAUAAACACUGCAUUUCCUCAAUUAAGUGGCAAUUCUAUGAUUGUCAUAUUGACAGGAUGCCUCCUCCGCCUAAGGUGGCUCUAUAUAGGUGUAUAAACGCCUUUAUAAAUACUGCAUUUCCGUGGUAAUUGAUACCGUAUUCUAUGAUUGUCUUAUUGACAGUAUAAUAUCCACCAAGGUACCUCUAAACACGGCAUUUCCCCAAUUAAGUGGCAAUUCUUAUUGGUCGGUGAUUGAUGCUUCAGUCAAGCCUCUAGAUGCUUGCCUGGGCAAUUGUUAGGCAAAUACCACCCAUUAUUGAAAUGGCUAUAUAUAUGCCUCCUUCAUUGAGGUUAAGUUGCCGAUUGAUUGAACCACCAUCAUCAUUGAACGCUGACAUCUGCCGGAAAUGAUCUCUUCUCUCCCGACCGAGGCCACACUCUCACAGCUCUCAAGUUCUAAGUUCUCUCUGGUGGUUUGGAGAUCAGAUCUACUCCCAUUUGAGUAACCACAAUGAUCCUAUGUCAAUUGGCUCGUGUCCAAUGGUCAUAUAUGUAGGUGUGUCUCUCAAUGUCCGAAACUGGCUCCGGCCUAUAGUGUUCUCUGAAGGCUUCGGCCUAUAGUGUUCUCUGAAGGCUUCGGCCUAUAGUGUUCUCUGAAGGCUUCGGCCUAUAGUGUUCUCUGAAGGCUUUGGCCUAUAGUGUUCUUUGAAGGCUCCGGCCUAUAGUGUUCUCUGAAGGCUCCGGCAUAUAGUGUUCUCUGAAGGCUUUGGCCUAUAGUGUUAUCUGAAGGCUCCGGCCUAUAGUGUUCUCUGAAGGCUCCGGCCCAUAGUGUUCUCUGAAGGCUUCGGCCUAUAGUAGGCUCCAGCCUAUAGUGUUCUCUGAAGGCUCCGGCCCAUAGUGUUCUCUGAAGGCUUCGGCCUAUAGUAGGCUCCGGCCUAUAGUGUUCUCUGAAGGCUUCGGCCUAUGGUUUUCUCUCUGAAGGCUUUGGCCUAUAGUAGGCUCCGGCUCUCUGAAGGCUUCGGCCUAUAGUAGGCUCCGGCCUAUAUAGUGUUCUCUGAAGGCUUCGGCCUAUAGUGUUCUCUGAAGGCUUCGGCCUAUAGUGUUCUCUGAAGGCUCCGGCCUAUAGUGCUCUAGCUGUGCUGAGCAGGGCUCUGGCUAUGAUAUAUCUCUCAAUUGGUCUGAGGUGGUUAGGUGGUGUGAAGUGGCCCUAACAACUAUGAGGUGGCCCUAACAACGAGGUGGCCCUAACAACAGAGGUGGCCCAUUGAUUCCAACCACGACAGAAACCUAUGUUCCCAGUGUCUCAACGAGGAGCUGAACGGGAUGUGGAGCGGGGCAAGUGGCAGCAGCUGGAUCCACCACCAUCAUCUCUCUCAACCAACUCUGUCUCUGCUGGAAUUCCUGUCCAUCGUGUUCAUCCCAGCUGAAGAAGGCUUCAGCCUCGCAGCUGAGUCCCCUGUCCAUGCACUCAUGGCAGGGGCAGGCUCUGUUCACGAUGCACUGUUCUCCGAUGGUCACCCUGAAGGCCAGGUAUGUGUUCUUAUUGUGUAUACUCAUGGCAGGGACAGGCUCUGAUCGCCCCAAAGGCUUCGGCCUAACAGUUCUCUCCGAUGUUCACCUGAAGGCUUCGGCCGGGAAUGUGUUCUCCCGUGUUCAUCCCAGCUGAAGAAGGCUUCGGCCUCGCAGGCUCUGUUCACCCCGACCUGAAGAAGGCGGCCAGACCAUCAGCCCCACAGCAGAAGACGGACCUCUGAUCUGCCUCUACCUCUGCUGGAGUUCCUGUCCACUCGGGGGUGUUCAUCCCAGCUGAAGAAGGCUUCGGCCUCGCAGCUGAGUCCCCUGUCCAUGCACUCAUCAUGGCAGGGGCAGGCUCUGUUCACCCCGACCUGAAGGCGGCCAGACCAUCGGCCCCACAGCAGAAGACGGACCUCUGAUCUGCCUCUACCUCUGCUGGAGUUCCUGUCCACUCGGGGGUGUUCAUCCCAGCUGAAGAAGGCUUCGGCCUCGCAGCUGAGUCCCCUGUCCAUGCACUCAUGGCAGGGGCAGGCUCUGUUCACCCCGACCUGAAGAAGGCGGCCAGACCAUCGGCCCCACAGCAGAAGACGGACCUCUGAUCUGCCUCUACCUCUGCUGGAGUUCCUGUUCACUCGGGGGUGUUCAUCCCAGCUGAAGAAGGCUUCGGCCUCGCAGCUGAGUCCCUUGUCCAUGCACUCAUGGCAGGGGCAGGCUCUGUUCACCCCGACCUGAAGGCGGCCAGACCAUCGGCCCCACAGCAGAAGGUGGACUUAGCCAUGGGUUUUACAGACGGGGAAAGGGAAUUGUUCGUAUGGUAUAGCUAUUGGUGUACACAGCGAAUAUGUAAUAACACAAUGCUUAACCGUCUUCUUCUUCUGCCCCCAGGAAAUUUUAAUGGAUCUUCCUAACGAGCGGACUGAUCAUAUGGACUGGUAAAGAGUUACUUCAUUAACGCCUGAUACUAUGUGCGCAUAUCAUGAUAGUAUGUGAUUACCUUCCAAUGGCUAUAAAAGUCACUUCUGUUAUCACUACAAGAUCUCUUAAUUUGUAGCUUGGUCUACGUAAUAUCCAUGCAUUUAAUGAUGCGUUUGGCUUAUUAUGUCGUGUGUGUAACCAAGUCUUCAUACAUUUGGCUUCAUGUGCAACAUCCCACUCAUGUUAUAGCUUAGACUAUUAUAGCUACACAGUGUGCGUGCAUGUAUACUAGUAAUGCUGCACAGUGUGCAUGCAUGUAUACUAGUAAUGCUGCACAGCUAUGACUCUAUUUACGCAGACAGAUCUGAAGCAGCUCUAAAGACAAUCGAGACAACGAUUAUGGUGGGAGGAGUCACUGGCACAACCUAUGCUGAUCGACCAAAAACUAAAUUAAGUUGAAGUAGCUAGACGAACCCCAUGACGUUAUCAUGCAGAUCUCUAUACGUCUCUACCUUGUGGUAGAAUACAAAAAGCUGCCCCCAUGUAAGAAAUGGAUCUUCCUAAUGAGCGUGGACUGGAUUGAUGGACUGAUAUAACAAGGCGAGCUUAUGGAACAGAUCGGAUGGUGUUUGAUGAAUGAUAUAGAUGAAUGAUAGAAGCAGUAUUUUGCAUUCCUUGUCUUAUAAAAAGGGUGGGUACGGGUACAAAUGGAUCAAGAGUUCACCAGAGAGUUCACAAUGAAAGGACAGACACCGUGACAGCUUGGUCGGACUCGGAAAUUAUGUAGCUAUUCAGUGUGGUUAAGGCAUGCCAAAUGAUCAUAUUUGAGAUGG